AUUUCUUCAAACCUGUCACACAGACUGCCAUGCUAUUGAUAAGGUGCUGCCCUGGUCCAUUGCAGAACCCUGCCACCAGGGGGCUGUAUUGAGAACAGAUGCAUACUUGCCUGCCUGGAAUGGCAGAUUCUCCUUGUUUAUUCAUUAAUCCUUUGAGUGUCAGAGACAUGACCAGCACAUUGCAAAGUGUGCAACACAUAUUUGACACUCGAAGGGUUAAAUCUAUGACAUCAUUAUGGGAGCACAAAGAAAGCUCAACGUUUUGUUUUUUUCUAUUUCCAUAAAAUGAUUUUAAUA